AUUGAACGCUGGCGGCAGGCCUAACACAUGCAAGUCGAACGAGUGGCGGACGGGUGAGUAAUAUAUGGGGACGUGCCCAAUAGCGGGGGAUAACUACUCGACAGUGUAGCUAAUCCCGCAUACUAUUGGAACCCCCCAUGUGGGAUUAGCGUGUAGGGGGGGUAAAGGCUCACCAAGGCGACGAGCCCUAGCUGGUUUGAGUGGAUGACCAGUCACACGGGGAAUGAGACACGGCCCAGACGCCUACGUGAGGCAGCAGUGGGGAAUUUUGCACAAUGGGCGCAAGCCUGAUGCAGCCAUGCCGCGUGUAUGAUGAAGGCCUUCGGGUUGUAAAGUACUUUCGGUCGGGAGGCGUUACCGACAGAAGAAGCACCGGCUAACUCCGUGCCAGCAGCCGCGGUAAUAC
rnacentral:rRNA from 1 species